rnacentral:rRNA from 1 species
GACGAACGCUGGCGGCGUGCCUAAUACAUGCAAGUUGAGCGCUGAAGGUUGGUACUUGUACCAACUGGAUGAGCAGCGAACGGGUGAGUAACGCGUGGGGAAUCUGCCUUUGAGCGGGGGACAACAUUUGGAAACGAAUGCUAAUACCGCAUAAAAACUUUAAACACAAGUUUUAAGUUUGAAAGAUGCAAUUGCAUCACUCAAAGAUGAUCCCGCGUUGUAUUAGCUAGUUGGUGAGGUAAAGGCUCACCAAGGCGAUGAUACAUAGCCGACCUGAGAGGGUGAUCGGCCACAUUGGGACUGAGACACGGCCCAAACUCCUACGGGAGGCAGCAGUAGGGAAUCUUCGGCAAUGGACGAAAGUCUGACCGAGCAACGCCGCGGGAGUGAAGAAGGUUUUCGGAUCGGAAAACUCUGUUGGUAGAGAAGAACGUUGGUGAGAGUGGAAAGCUCAUCAAGUGACGGUAACUACCCAGAAAGGGACGGCUAACUACGUG